AUUGAACGCUGGCGGCAGGCCUAACACAUGCAAGUCGAGCGAGCGGCGGACGGGUGAGUAAUGUAUGGGGACUGCCCGAUAGAGGGGGAUAACUACUGGAAACGGUGGCUAAUACCGCAUACUGUCGGAUAACCCAUAUGGGAUUAGCUAGUAGGUAAGGUAAGGGCUUACCUAGGCGACGAUCCCUAGCUGGUCGGAGAGGAUGAUCAGCCACACUGUGACUGAGAAACGGCCCAGACUCCUACGGAGGCAGCAUUGGGGAAGAGUGCACAAUGGGCGAAAGCCUGAUGCAGCGACGCCGCGUGGGGGAUGAAGGCUUACGGGUUGUAAACCUCUUUCGCUAUCGAACGGGUAGUUGGAGAAGAAGCGCCGGCUAACGACGUGCCAGCAGCCGCGGUAAUUC
rnacentral:rRNA from 1 species